UACGUAGGCAGCAAGCGUUGCUCGGAAUCACUGGGCGUAAAGGGUGCGUAGGCGGGUCUUUAAGUCAGGGGUGAAAUCCUGGAGCUCAACUCCAGAACUGCCUUUGAUACUGAGGAUCUUGAGUUCGGGAGAGGUGAGUGGAACUGCGAGUGUAGAGGUGAAAUUCGUAGAUAUUCGCAAGAACACCAGUGGCGAAGGCGGCUCACUGGCCCGGUACUGACGCUGAGGUGCGAAAGCGUGGGGAGCAAACAGG
rnacentral:rRNA from 1 species